rnacentral:rRNA from 1 species
GUGGGGAAUCUUGCGCAAUGGGCGAAAGCCUGACGCAGCAACGCCGCGUGCGGGAAGAAGGCUCUCGGGUUGUAAACCGCUUUCAGAAGGAACGAAAAUGACGGUACUUUCAGAAGAAGGUGCGGCCAACUACGUGCCAGCAGCCGCGGUGACACGUAGGCACCAAGCGUUGUCCGGAUUUAUUGGGCGUAAAGAGCUCGUAGGCGGUUCAGUAAGUCAGGUGUGAAAUCUUUGGGCUUAACCCAAAGCGUGCACUUGAUACUGCUGUGACUUGAGUUCGGUAGGGGAGUGGGGAAUUCCUAGUGUAGCGGUGAAAUGCGCAGAUAUUAGGAGGAACACCGGUGGCGAAGGCGCCACUCUGGGCCGAAACUGACGCUGAGGAGCGAAAGCGUGGGUAGCAAACAGG